AUCUAUUUAGUAUAUUAGUAUUUUUGACUUCCAAUCAAAAGGUUUGGAUCAACCAAAAUAGAUA
rnacentral:tRNA from 1 species